GAUGAACGCUGGCGGCGUGCCUAAUACAUGCAAGUCGAGCGAACAGACGAUGAGCUUGUUCCUCUGACGUUUGCGGCGGACGGGUGAGUAACACGUGGAUAACCUACUUAUAAGACUGGGAUAACUUCGGGACACCGGAGCUAAUACCGGAUAAUCUAUUGAACCGCAUGGUUCAAUAGUGAAAGACGGUUUUGCUGUCACUUAUAGAUGGAUCUGCGCCGCAUUAGCUAGUUGGUAAGGUCACGGCUUAUCAAGGCAACGAGGCGUAGCCGACGUGAGAGGGUGAUCGGCGACACUGGAGCUGGGACGCGGUCCAGAGUCCUACGGGAGGGAGCAGUAGGGAAUGGGCGGCAAUGGGCGAAAGCCUGGCAGAGCGGCGCGGCGUGUGUGAUGGAGGUGCUCGGAGCGUGAAGCUCUGUUAUGGGGGGAGAACAGAUGUGUAAGUAGCUGUGGACGUCUUGACGGUACCUGAUCAGGAAGCCACGGCUAACUACGUG
rnacentral:rRNA from 1 species